UGGACCAAUGAUGAUCACUGGUGGCAUUUGAGUCGUGGACGAUGAAUACUGUGUGUCUGAAACUCUGAGGUCCAG